GCAGCAGCGUAUAGCACGUUGAAUGCCCCAGUUCCCCAAGAAUCACUGAAGUUCAGAAACGUUGCACGUGGUUAGUACCUGGAUGGUGACCAUCUG
rnacentral:rRNA from 1 species